rnacentral:ncRNA from 1 species
GCUUAACACUGCGGGCGCGACGCUUUUAAACUUGGUCUUGCGCCGGUUUGAGAGUGGAGCUGAGAAGUACCGUCAGAACUCGAUCAAGAUAAUACUUGCGUGAGGAACGUGCUGCCGCUAUCUU